ensembl:antisense Gm12758 predicted gene 12758
GUCCUAGGACUAGGAGGCCGACACAGCCGUGUUAGAUGCCAACCUGGGCACUACAGUAAGUACUUAGUCCAGCCUGGGCUACAAUGUGAACCCUCUUAUUAAAAACAAAUAUAAAACGGUACAUAACUCUGAUGCGAAGCUCCCAAUGGUGACUCCUUGGCAAUCCCGAUAGAAUUAUGGUGAACAACGCUUUAGUUCUGCGUGAGAGCCUCAUCAGGUCUGAUUUUUCACUCUAUAUUAGAAUUACCAAAUCCUACGAGAUAACCACAGAAUACCUGACAACGAUUUAGGAACCGUGGCGCUAACACGAUUCAGUCUUCGCUCUCUCGGAGCCUUCCUUUGGGAGGAACAAAUGCAAACACGGGAUUCCUGGCAGUGCUGACUGUUGUAAUGGCAAGCAAGGGCAGAAAGCGAAAUUGUUGAGACUUAAAGCACCUUUUAGAGCAGCGGUUCUCAAGUUUCACGCUGCUGCGGCCCUUUUGUAAACCACAGUUCUCUCUCGUGGUGACCCAACAAUUUUCAUUGUUACUUAAUUUUGCUACUGUUAUGAAAUGUAACUUAAAUAUAUGUUUUCCAAUGGUCUUAAACCACCCUUGUGAAAGAGUAAUUCCACCCCCAGUUUUAUUCACGACCCAGUUUGAGAACAACUGCUUCAGAGCAACAGGGCAAGGAGUUGGAGGGAGCAGGGUAAGGCACUGUUGGUAAGUUAACACAUGAGGUUUGGGUGGGUAGGAAAGCUUAAUGGCAGGGACUUAAAGUGACAUAGUGUGCAGGAGGACACUUCCCCCACCCCACCCCCACCUCUGAGACAGGGUUUCUCUGUGUAGCUCUAGUUGUCCUGGAACUCACUCUGUAGACCAGGCUGGCCUUAAACUCAGAAAUCCACCUGCCUCUGCAUCCCAAGUGCUGGGAUUAAAAAUGUGCACCACUGGGGCUGGUGAGCUGGCUCAAUGGUUAAGAGUGCCAACUGCUCUUCCAAAGGUCCUGAGUUCAAAUCCCAGCAACCACAUGGUGACUCACAACCAUCCAUAACAAAAUCUGAUGCUCUCCUCUUGGAGUGUCUGAAGACACACUACAGUGUACUUACAUAUAAUAAAUAAAUAUUAAAAAAAAAAA